rnacentral:rRNA from 1 species
UCGAGCGGACAGAAGGGAGCUUGCUCCCGGAUGUUAGCGGCGGACGGGUGAGUAACACGUGGGUAACCUGCCUGUAAGACUGGGAUAACUCCGGGAAACCGGAGCUAAUACCGGAUAGUUCCUUGAACCGCAUGGUUCAAGGAUGAAAGACGGUUUCGGCUGUCACUUACAGAUGGACCCGCGGCGCAUUAGCUAGUUGGUGAGGUAACGGCUCACCAAGGCGACGAUGCGUAGCCGACCUGAGAGGGUGAUCGGCCACACUGGGACUGAGACACGGCCCAGACUCCUACGGGAGGCAGCAGUAGGGAAUCUUCCGCAAUGGACGAAAGUCUGACGGAGCAACGCCGCGUGAGUGAUGAAGGUUUUCGGAUCGUAAAGCUCUGUUGUUAGGGAAGAACAAGUGCAAGAGUAACUGCUUGCACCUUGACGGUACCUAACCAGAAAGCCACGGCUAACUACGUGCCAGCAGCCGCGGUAAUACGUAGGUGGCAAGCGUUGUCCGGAAUUAUUGGGCGUAAAGGGCUCGCAGGCGGUUUCUUAAGUCUGAUGUGAAAGCCCCCGGCUCAACCGGGGAGGGUCAUUGGAAACUGGGAAACUUGAGUGCAGAAGAGGAGAGUGGAAUUCCACGUGUAGCGGUGAAAUGCGUAGAGAUGUGGAGGAACACCAGUGGCGAAGGCGACUCUCUGGUCUGUAACUGACGCUGAGGAGCGAAAGCGUGGGGGAGCGAACAGGAUUAGAUACCCUGGUAGUCCACGCCGUAAACGAUGAG